GGGUGCCGCUGUUGGCCGACCCGAGGCUGGAGCGAAACAAAGGAGUCCCUGCGGCGAUUCGGCCGCAGAGAUCCCUGCCGACUUUUGAAAAACACAUCAGCAGCGGGCUCUGCAUGCCAUCUCUCCCACAGUCUGUUCCAGAUAUCUGGGCAGGGGGAGCCGCUGCCUCUUCUUUCCAGCGCACCUUGGUAAUCCCGGGAGUGACAGCAACGAGGUGCAUUCGGAUCCACAAAGCAGCAUCGAGAAGAGAGGAAGCCUCCUCACCCGUAGGCGGUACGGUAGGUGCCGGAGCGCAGGAAGCCUUGCUUCCCCUCCCGUUGGCUUUGCUCAGCCUAGUGAACGAUUCUAGAAGAGAUAGCUAAGGAUUUAAAAGUGGAGAAUCUCACCCGAGAUGUGCAUCUCGUGACCAGAACCUUGGGCGGGUGCUGAGAAGCCUCUACUGCCAGCCAAGAGAGCAGGGAGAAACAAGAGAAUGACAGAGGAGAUUAGCCGAUAGGCCAGAGGAAGCCCCGAGGCUCCUGGAAUCUGAAACCGCAGUGGAAAUCCUAGAAAUGCUUUUCAUAUAAAUGUAUUUAUCCUGGAUAUAAAUAACGUACGGAUAUUCGUGCAGCCCUUUUGUUUUGAAAAUUCAGGAAGACAUCUGAAUAGGGGCAAAGUUUAUUCCUAAACUGCAGUAGAUAUGGAUGCUGCAAGUAAUUCUCUACAGAUUUAUCGGUUUAGUUUCCAUUAACGAUCUCCCCCCACUGCCAGAAGUAAAAGAGAGCGCCAGGGCAGUAAAUACUCUGGUCGUUUAUUGGAGAAGUCUGACUGCUGGAGCAGCACUGCCACGCUUAGUGGUGAGGAGAGGCAGGGCGCUCAGGGCAAGGUGCAAGUCUUGGAUGCUAAUGCCAGUCCUCUGAACCUGAACCACAAGAGUUCAGCAGAGACCGUCUGCAGGAAGACUUGCCCUCCAGCUCCUUGUCUGCAUUCUUCAGCUCAUCCCUGCUGAUGCAGAUGACACCCUUAGGGGGGAGGUCUCCAUGCUUUACAGUCUCACAGGGCAUUCAGAACAGAUCCAGCAACAGCAGCACUGUCUCUGAGUUUGAAGAGUGACAGUUACGUCCCGGCAUAGAAGAGAAGCCUGGAGAGCGUUAAGAGCCUAUUUCACAAUCCUGCUUGAACUGGAGGUUGAGAACUAAUAUGCAGUACCUGACUAGACUUUCAUAGGGUGUCUAGUCCUGUUAAAGAGCUAAGAACUGUGGUUGCACUAAUCCAAAUAGCCGGACUCAGCAAGUUGCUUAAAGGGAGAGGUGAAAGAUGUCGUGAAGAGUAAUAAACACACAGCCAAACAUCACCGCUGGCAGAUGGAAUUGUAAACUGGGAGCAGACGUGCAAUUACGACGUCACCAGCAAGGGCAGGCUGUCCUCUAGUGCCAGCAUCGGCCUGCAGGUAACCCACAUCCACAAAAACCCUCGAGUUUUCCAGCCGUCCUACCGCAUGGUCCAGGUGACAGGGACCACUUACCCAGAGCCUCUGUUGCACACUUCAGCGCUUCUGACUCGAACUUGGAGCCUAAGCACCUCCUCUUCUUUCCUGACCGUCGACCUGGGUGGUGUUGUCUUACGUGUGGGUGAGCAUAGAGCACGGAGGUGUUCACUGUCGCCUGCGUUUGUGCUGACUCUGCGGCCCAUGACCAGGUUCACCUGGGCUUGCUAUCAUCCUGAGCCUGCCCGUGAUGGUGGACCACCGCUGCAAAAACAUGCAGAAGAUGCGCUGUACGAGGAGCUGCAGCUGGAAGUCAUGUCCCUCAACGAUGGGGGACCAUGUAGUAUGCAGCCCAACUGCCUGGUGCCCAAGGUGGACACUGACUGGGGUGCAAUGCCUGACUGUUCUAUCAGGUACUUCAGACCACUAAUCUGACUCUUGAACCUGACGAUGCACCAGAGCAAGAUGUGCACUGCAGCACUGGGGUGACAGAGACACUGCUGUCUGGGGCUUGCUGGUCACCAUGCUCAGUGAUGGCAGUUGUCAUGCUCCACCAGUCUUUCCCUCCCAUUUCAGGGGUUGUGGCUGCACCUGCGACCACCUGGCAUCUACUGCCAGAGCUAUAGUUUUACCUGCUUGUGGCCUUGGCCUUGAUCUUCCUGCUUUUCCUCUUAGCAGUGACUCUGGCCAUUGCCCAGUGCCUGCGAUGCUCCUCCAACCCUGCUUUCAGCCUGGUCUCUGGUCCAAGCCUGAAUUUAAGUUGCUGUCACUUCAACAAGAGAGAUUUGCCCUAUUUCUAUAACCGAUAUUACAUUGGAUUCAAAGGUAUACCUCUGAGGCUUAACACUUCUGUUUCAUAAAUAUCAACCUGCUGUAAGCAAUCCUGCUAUAAUUUUUUGUUGUGUUGAGGGGCAUGAGGAGAGUUCUCCAAGUCUCUUUGCUAGUUUCUAUGUGUAUUUUGAUUUGUUUCAUUAGCCCAGAAAAUUCCUUUGGGCAAAACUUAAUGUAUAUUCUGAAAAGUUAUGAUUCCUACUAAAGAGAUUUUCCUUGUAAUUUUGAUGGAGGCAGUACAUCUUUAGGUUUCUAUUCUUGGGCUCCAUUAUGCUUGUUGUUGAGGAGCUGAGAAACUAUAGAUUGGUUACAUAGGAACAGAAUUCUCUCCCCAAGAACUUUUCUUGUUUCCUUUCUUUCAUCAUUUUCCAGACAUGGUGCCCAUGGGUUGGCUGCCAGUAUCUGGCCCAAUAUCUGUUCUUAAAAAAUGUCAACGUCUGAAAUGCAGAGAUCAUUCUUUCCUCACUUUUGUGUAAAGAUAAAUAAAUCACACUAAUCCCCAAGACAUUUUAGUUAGUAAUCGUUUACUCAUUUUGCAAUAAGUAAGAGAAGGAAGGAAAUCUAAUUUUAAAAUCUUGCUGUUUUAGAAAAACAACCUCUCUUGGAGAAAAUAUUGUGUGGAUGUAAGACAGUACAUAUUACCUUAAUGUAGCCUCUCUAAAAAUAAAGAUGUGGCCUUUUUCUUUUCAGUUUUGAAAAGUAAUAUCACUACCUCUUGUGUCUCUUAAAGUCUAAAUCAGCUAUUGAUAGGAUAUUUUUCCAGUGAAAUUCCGAGACCCUAGUGUUAUUUUAUUCAAAACAUAUUACUUUCAGGUGAGUUAAAGUUUUUUUUAAAAGCCCAUAUUAAAGGUCUUUUUAAAAGCACAUAGUACAUAGACACUUAAGUAAAAGAGGAAAAGUAAAGAUGGAGUAAAACAUGUCUUUCAAAUUCCAAGGUCUCUGCUAAAUAUUCAGAGCACAAUGGAUAGGAAAUGGGACAGUCCCAGUUUUAAAGCCUUGCUUACACUCUAAAAGUUUUUUUUCCCUUCACUUUCUUUCACUCUGUAGUCAAAAGGCAGUUUUCCAUAUGAUCUGGGAAAUUAUCACAUGGUCAAGAUAUACGACAGGGGUGUUCCCAUCGUGGCUUAGCAGUUAACAAACCCGACUAGAAUCCAUGAGUUGCAGGUUCGAUCCCUGGCCUCGAUGAGUGGGUUAAGCAUCUGGCGUUGCCGUGAGCUGUGGUGUAGGUCGCAGAUGCUGCUCGGAUCCCACGUUGCUGUGGCUCUGGCAUAGGCUGGCAGCUACAGCUCUGAUUGGACUCCUUGCCUGGGAACCUCCAUGUGCCAC
rnacentral:lncRNA from 1 species